rnacentral:rRNA from 1 species
GUCGAACGCUGGCGGCGUGCCUUACACAUGCAAGUCGAACGGAGUGGCGAACGGGUGAGUAAUGUAUCGGAACGUGCCCAGUAGCGGGGGAUAACUACGCGAAAGCGUAGCUAAUACCGCAUACUAUUGGAGCGGCCGAUAUCGGAUUAGCUAGUUGGUGGGGUAACGGCUCCCCAAGGCGACGCGCCGUAGCUGGUUUGAGAGGACGACCAGCCACACUGGGACUGAGACACGGCCCAUACUCCUACGGGAGGCAGCAGGGGGGAAUAUUGGACAAUGGGGGAAACCCUGAUCCAGCCAUCCCGCGUGUGCGAUGAAGGCAUUCGGGUUGUAAAGCACUUUUGGCAGGAAAGCGGUACCUGCAGAAUAAGCACCGGCUAACUACGUGCCAGCAGCCGCGGUAAUUC